rnacentral:lncRNA from 1 species
GGAUCAUCAUGGAGAAUAGUGAUCAAUUCAUUUGAGAUCGAUGCACGGAUCACCUCCCUUGUGGGCAGAUGAGUCUUGAGUCUGCAGUGUAGAGAUACUGGAGUGAAGGUGCAGGUGGUUAUUAGAAAAUAACUUGCAUUGAGUGUGAUCAAUACGAGAACCACAUGGAUGUCUACUCACUCAUCAGCGGUCUUCUCGAUGCUGCAGUGGUAUGAGUGGUUCUUUGACCUACGGUAAUAUUGGCUAUUCGCAGCGAGACUACUGAGUUUGACUGCACGUUUCCUUAGUCCCUAGCUAUUCGGAUCCUUGCUG